CAGCAGCCACGGGAAUACGUAGGGUGCGAGCGUUAAUCGGAAUUACUGGGCGUAAAGCGUGCGCAGGCGGUUCGUUAAGACAGAUGUGAAAUCCCCGGGCUUAACCUGGGAACUGCAUUUGUGACUGGCGAGCUAGAGUAUGGCAGAGGGGGGUAGAAUUCCACGUGUAGCAGUGAAAUGCGUAGAGAUGUGGAGGAAUACCGAUGGCGAAGGCAGCCCCCUGGGCCAAUACUGACGCUCAUGCACGAAAGCGUGGGGAGCAAACAGGAUUAGAUACCCGAGUAGUCCCUGUCUCUUAUAC
rnacentral:rRNA from 1 species